UGGUUAGGGGCGGAAUUUAAAUGUCGAAGUUUUUCACCUGUUUCGCAAGAAACUUCGCAACCUUUAGCGAUCGGGCCGCCGAGAAUCCUCCGCCGCAUUGUCAUGAGUACCGAUCAAGCCCUACCUCUUAUGAUGAUGCACUUAUAUGCUCAAUGUACAGUGGUACGACAUGAGUGCUUUUCAAGUGUACUGAGCGUUUACGGUUUCUGCUUGAAGCUCAAGAAAACGUACCGCCUUUGCAUGCAUUAGAUGCAAAGCACUUGAGUUGAACAACAGCAAUAAAUGGGAAUAAAUGCGAGUGCCGAGCAGAAAUUUAAUUUUGAUCGUGAUACUAUAGCGCGCUAGGCUCUAUUAAAAUAUCUACGAUUUUGAACUGUCCACGGAAAAUUAUCCUCCCCUCCUCCGCCUUGUCUAUGAGCUCAAGUGGGACAGUUCGGCACUUCUGGAACGCUAGCACGGUGCUCACGCUUUAGCACUGUCGUGAAUAUAAAUAUAUGAUUGAUCUGAUCGAGCCGCAUGACAAAGGGGGGACAUCAGAUAUAAUGGUUAAAUAUAGAAGUGUGCGAAGAUUGAACAUUUGGAAUAUCGAAUCGAAUAUCGUCAUACUUGAUUCGGUCUUCGGGAAUAGCCCAUAUGCGUUAAUACGAAUAUUUCAAAAUAUCAUCUAUGCCCAAUUAAACACGAAAUUAGCGUAAAAAUACAAUAAUUUCUACGGUCAUAAGCUAUACGUCGUUUGCAGAGCCAGAAUUCGAUAGUCCGCACACACUGAAGAGUUUUAAAAUUUCUACUUGAUGCUCAGUUUAUGGUUUUCAUGUUAAUUUGUUUUAAUGUUAGAGUACCAACGAUAUUUUGUGUUAACAACGAAAACGGUUCAAUUCAAAUUCGAUCCGCUUCUUGCACGCAUUAGCGCUGCCCUAAAAUGUUCAGGCAUGUGCUUCAGUUGAAAUUUCCCGCUCCUUUUUUUCCUCACCCGAAAGAGCUGAUAUAAGCAACACGUGCGUUCCUCCGAAAAAAAAAAAAAAGUGGUGAGAUCUCUCUCCCAGAAAGAAUGACAAGGCCUGAAAGGAGGAACGAAGAGGGAGGCGGGGCGUGCAGCGGGGCUACCAUAGCGGGGCGCCGGACCCCGCACCUCUCGCGUUUUCUUUUUUUUCUUUGCCACAGCGCUGGGGAGGGGAGCAAGCUCCAUGCGUCAGUUCCCGCCAAAUUGUAGCUCUUUCGAGCGAGGACGUGCGGACUGAAACACUGCACAGAGACGGGCAAGCACUCAGAGGCAUUUCGUUUGCCCUGAUCCUGGAGGCGGCCUUCUCCCAUUGCCGAGGAUUUGAAGCGAACUCCUGGCAGAUCAGAAAUGUUCAGGCGAACGGCGGUUAUAUUUGUCUGUGGACCCAAGACUUCGUUGACGGGCAAAUAUGUCAGAUUUUCUUGUUUUUUAUUUGUGGCAUCUUAUUGUAAAGCCGUGACAUAUUUUGCCGUUUUCUCUAGGGAACCCUGCAACAAGGACUGUAGUGUGAAUAGCGUGCUGCGCUGCUCUCGCCAACUGAAAAGAACUCUGGUGUGCUGUAAAUGCCGACUGCACAAUAUGUGACUGGCCCGCUGCUGCUUUGAAGGUAAGAUUGUGUUCUCAUUAAUCUAUUUAUUGUACCAUUUGUUUUCCAGUGACAUAGCCAACAACGAAAACCUCGAUCCAUCCUCUCUCCACAUAUUAUCUAGUUUGUGCGCUGUGGAGCUUGAAGCACUUCUCGGAAUUUCAGCACACUCGCAUUUAUUUUUUUCCCGACAGAAGAAAAAUGCAAGUCUAACAUCUCGACGGUAAAACGUCGCAUCUGCGCACGUGUUCAGGGCCAAGAGCACGAGAAGUGGCCGAAAGAAGGGAGCCGAUCCAACAGGAAUGCCGUCCGUCUUUAUAUUUAUAUAUGUCAGCGUUAUCAUGCCGUGAUCACAUGGACUGUACGGUUGCGUUGCACAAGGGCUGAUGCAAACGCCCCGUGCGAACAAUGUUGCUUGGAAAAUUAGUGCACCUAUACAAUUGCAAAAUAAAGAUCUAAAGAGAGAAAACUUAUAUUCACGUCUUUCUUUUAUUGUGUGUUACGUAUUAACACGUUAACAAGUGCAGACCGUUAGAGGCGUUUAAUUCCGUCUUACAUGUGCACUCUGCCCGUAAUUAAUUCAGAUAGAGUUAAACGCCUCUAUAAACUGCCCGUUCACAUUAAAUACGACACGCAUCAACACACCAGAAAAACAAUUGAUGCGUUUUGUUAGAACACGCACAAAAAAUAAGAAAAAAAAAAGCAGAGCAAUACUAGCGAAAAACGUCCGCAACCGACCCACGGCCGUCGGUAAAUCGACGUUUAUGUAAGGUCGGGCAUUAGUCAACCCGCGAGCGGCAUGCACUCGGCCUCGUCGGCCAC